rnacentral:rRNA from 1 species
UUCCGGUUGAUCCUGCCGGACCUGACUGCUAUCGGAUUGAUACUAAGCCAUGCGAGUCAUUGUAGCAAUACAAGGCAGACGGCUCAGUAACGCGUAGUCAACCUAACCUAUGGACGGGAAUAACCUCGGGAAACUGAGAAUAAUGCCCGAUAGAACACUAUACCUGGAAUGGUUUGUGUUCCAAAUGAUUUAUCGCCGUAGGAUGGGACUGCGGCCUAUCAGUUUGUUGGUGAGGUAAUGGCCCACCAAGACUAUUACAGGUACGGGCUCUGAGAGGAGUAGCCCGGAGAUGGGUACUGAGACACGGACCCAGGCCCUAUGGGGCGCAGCAGGCGAGAAAACUUUGCAAUGUGCGAAAGCACGACAAGGUUAAUCCGAGUGGUUUGUGCUAAACGAACCUUUUGUUAGUUCUAGAAAUACUAACGAAUAAGGGGUGGGCAAGUUCUGGUGUCAGCCGCCGCGGUAAAACCAGCACCUCAAGUGGUCAGGAUGAUUAUUGGGCCUAAAGCAUCCGUAGCCGGCUCUGUAAGUUUUCGGUUAAAUCUGUACGCUUAACGUACAGGCUGCCGGGAAUACUGCAGAGCUAGGGAGUGGGAGAGGUAGACGGUACUCGGUAGGAAGGGGUAAAAUCCUUUGAUCUAUUGAUGACCACCUGUGGCGAAGGCGGUCUACCAGAACACGUCCGACGGUGAGGGAUGAAAGCUGGGGGAGCAAACCGGAUUAGAUACCCGGGUAGUCCCAGCUGUAAACUAUGCAAACUCAGUGAUGCAUUGACUUGUGGUCAAUGCAGUGCUGCAGGGAAGCCGUUAAGUUUGCCGCCUGGGAAGUACGUACGCAAGUAUGAAACUUAAAGGAAUUGGCGGGGGAGCACCACAAGGGGUGAAGCCUGCGGUUCAAUUGGAGUCAACGCCGGG